rnacentral:rRNA from 1 species
AAACUUUCAACAACGGAUCUCUUGGUUCUGGCAUCGAUGAAGAACGCAGCGAAAUGCGAUAAAGUAAUGUGAAUUGCAGAAUUCAGUGAAUCAUCGAAUCUUUGAACGCACAUUGCGCCCUCUGGUAUUCCGGGGGGCAUGCCUGUUCGAGCGUCAUU